CCUGGCUAGAUUGAACGCUGGCGGCAGGCUUAACACAUGCAGGUCGAGCGGUAACAGAUCUAGCUUGCUAGAUGCUGACGAGCGGCGGACGGGUGAGUAAUGCAUAGGAAUCUGCCCGGUAGUGGGGGAUAACCUGGGGAAACCCAGGCUAAUACCGCAUACGCCCUACGGGGGAAAGCAGGGGCUCUUCGGACCUUGCGCUAUCGGAUGAGCCUAUGUCGGAUUAGCUAGUCGGUAGGGUAACGGCCUUCCAAGGCGACGAUCCGUAGCUGGUCUGAGAGGAUGAUCAGCCACAUCGGGACUGAGACACGGCCCGAACUCCUACGGGAGGCAGCAGUGGGGAAUAUUGGACAAUGGGGGCAACCCUGAUCCAGCCAUGCCGCGUGUGUGAAGAAGGCCUUCGGGUUGUAAAGCACUUUCAGCGAGGAAGAAAGCCUGGUGGCCAAUACCCGCCAGGAAGGACAUCACUCGCAGAAGAAGCACCGGCUAACUCCGUGCCAGCAGCCGCGGUAAUACGGAGGGUGCGAGCGUUAAUCGGAAUUACUGGGCGUAAAGCGCGCGUAGGUGGCUUGAUAAGCCGGUUGUGAAAGCCCUGGCUCAACCUGGGAGCGGCAUCCGGAACUGUCAGGCUAGAGUGCAGGAGGGGAAGGUAGAAUUCCCGGUGUAGCGGUGAAAUGCGUAGAGAUCGGGAGGAAUACCA
rnacentral:rRNA from 1 species